rnacentral:lncRNA from 1 species
AGAUAUCAGAUCCGUCGUUUCAUAGGAGACCCCACUCCCUUGUAUUUCAUCUUCUUCGAACCCUACACCCCUGAAACCAACGUCCCUUUUCUCCUUCAGCGCACCCAGCGACCAGAACUCCCCACAGUUGUUUCUUCUUAUUCUCACCAUCAAGACCACCAAAAAAUCCUAGAAAGUUAGAAGCUGCAGCAGCAGCCCCUCCCCGUCGCCAUCACACUCACCUCGCCGGAAACCACCCAACCAACAGCAGCUCCCCAAAAACCAGACCCCUAAUUACGAGCUGACCCUUUCUUCUCCAACAAAAAAAACCCUAAAACAAAAAUGAAAAAACAUCUAAGAACAAAAAGAGAAGGAACAACUGUUUCUUUUAGGAGCUGAAACCUUUCUUCUUAACGGACAUUAGCCAUUUUUGAUCUUUCUUUAACUCCAAAGAGAACCAACAGCCACGCUUCUUCGAACAAAGCUUUAGCCACAGGACAUAGUAUAAUCUCUUUACUGCCGGAAUUCGACGAGGCCAAACCCAGUCGCUACUUCUGCUUCUUCCUAAUCUAAACAACCCGCUUCUGCCCUGUUUUUGGUUUCUAGAUCUAGCCGGUUUUACAUUUUUUGGUGAUUUCCAUUGAAACUAGUGGAGUUUUGUUUGAGUCGAGUUUUUCCGGUUCGAGGUUCGGAUCAAUAGCUCGUUUGCUUUUGAUUUGCUGUUCUUGAGAUCUUACUUCAUUGUUCAUGGCAUGAAAUACGCAGCAAUAAAGGUUCAUUUUCCUUUCCGAUAUUGUUCUGCUCGCUAAUGUUUUGGAUCGUUUUGUAUUUGAUUUAAUUUGUAUGAUUUGGAUGAUUUUUGUUUAUUAGUUUUCUAUGUUGGGACAUUGCGCUGUUUAUUACGUUGAAUUUUCCUUUAAUUUCUAUUUUUUGUCAUUACUUUGUUGUUAGAGUUCUGUUGAAUAUGGGAUUUCACAAUUAAUGGUGGCCUUGCAGUGUCAAAAUUAGUUAAUAAAAUAACUAAUCUUUCAUAUGCUCACCAAUUAGUUAUGAUUUCGUUGUUUGUGUAAUUGUUUCUCCGUAGUUUCGAAUUUGCUCACUUAGUUAUUUGCUCGUAUGUUUACUCGAAUUUGUUAUAGCUGAACAUAAUUUUGUCACAGUAUAGAAAUUGGGCUGUUAUUCUUCAACUGAAUUAUGUCAAAUUAGAUUAAAGGGGCUCGGGUGCUAAAGUUUAUGAAAUCGAGCUCUUAAUUGUCUAUCGCUAUGUUACUUACCUAUAUUCGCUAAUAGCAUGUUUUAGACCGUUAAUAUUCAUAAUUAGUGUAGAAAACACUUUGAACGCUCGUAGAUUGCUUUAGGCGCGAUUAAUAAUAAAAUCAUCGUGAUUACGGAUAUGAUUCCCGUGGCAUGAUCAUGAAACCUAAUUCCCAAAUUCGGGUGUGCAUUUCAUGUGACCCGAUCAUAACAGCUUCGAACUUUAAUAAAAAUAAAUAUAUCACGAAUUACGGGUGCAUUUCAUGUAGCGUGAUUUUCGGUGUUUCCCAAAAUGACAAGUGUACGACAAUCGUAAUUUGUUCAAGAAAUAAUUUCAUAAAUCCUAAAAAGCAGUUUAAAAUAAUUAAAAAGCAUUUAUAAAGUUAAAAAUGCACAACAUGUUUUUAAACAUGUAGUAAAUCAUAUAAUAGGCCAAUUAUUAAUAGUUUAAGCGAUCAUGCUAGAACCACGGAACCCGGGAAUGCCUAACACCUUCUUCCGGAUUAACAGAAUUCCUUAUUUAGAAUUUCUGGUUUCGCAGACUUUUAAAUAAAGUCAAAAUUCUCCUUGAUUUGGGAUUUAAAAUAAACCGGUGACUUGGGACACCAAAUUAUCCCAAGUGGUGACUCUCUAAUUAAAUAAAAUAAUCUCAUUUUGAAUAAUGUCACUUUAAUUGGAAAAACUCCCUUAUAUACCCCCUCGGGUGGUAAAAAGGAAGUGUGACAACGAUACGCCAAAAAGAGGGGUGAAUCUGACCGAGGGUGACUUCGUAUGUUUUGUAGAAGUCGACCACCACCGGAUAGAGGCGACCCAGUGUGAAGGGGUAAGUGUAAACACUUAAAACUCCCUCCACGUAGGUAGUAAUGCUUUCAAGGGGGCUCGAGAUCUGAACCUCGACCUCAUCUCCCCAGCCACAAUCCUUCUUUACAUCCUUCAUAAGCUUCUUCGUUAUCAAGCUAAUAUAUUGAGAUGUGUGAUCGCAUCGGCCUGGGACGUCGGGAGGAUUCUUAAUACUAAAGUCCUUUUUAAUAAUACAAGGACCGGGGGUGAUUUCCUCAAGUGUUGGCGGCACCACCGGUUUGACCGGACGGGAGGUAGAAGAAGACGAUGCCUUAUCCUUUUUAGGGACCGUUUUGGAAGUUUUAGCAAUGGUUGUAAGCUAAAGAAUAUGGGUUGUGCAGGGAUGUGAUAGUUCUUAUAAAAGCUUGGUGUUUUUUGGCGCUUGAAGAGGCGGUAGAAACGAGUAAUUAGAGAAAGAGAUGAGGAUGAUAAAGAUGUAAAGAAAGAAUAAAUUUCUUUACUUAGAGGAAUCGCCCGUAUUUAUAGAUUGGCAAUGACGGUUCGGCGGCGCUAGUGGCCGACCAAUACUAGAGUGCAUUCAAUGUUUUGGGAAAAUGGACCGACGGGACGUUUCGGUCACUACAAAUGCCUGCAUCACGGAAACGACAUCAUCAUAAGAGGUUCGAGAAAAUUGGGGUUCAAAUAUUUUCUUAUCAUCUUACUCUAAGAAACGUGGGGACUAUCUGUACACGGUUGAUAUCGAGUGCCUUCGAUCUAGAUACUUAAGAGGUCGUCCGAAGAUCAAGUCCGGAUAAGACCAAGUUCGAGCUCGAGGGACCAAACCCGAGGUCGAAGGCGAAGCAUGAUGCAUACGGAGGUCGGGUGUGCUCAACCUCAAAAUAGUACCAUUAUGGAUUUGUACCAGAACAAGUUAGAUUCCUUCCAUGUCCCCAAAGUCAUGGCGCAAAUCCCGGAAUAUGAUUGUACUAUUCCGUACUAGGCAGUUAGACAGUUGUACCAAGAAUAUUCCUUACUGUAAAUAGAAAUAUUCCUUAUUUUGGGCUCCCUUAUUAUAUAAAGGGGAGCUCAAUCAUUUGUAAGAUAUUUGAUCAUCACUGAGAAAAGAAUAUACUCUCUACCUUUUUGCCUAUUGCUCAUCAGCAUUGUCUUUUAGCUCCAUUGUUCUUGCUUUAUCUUUAUUACUUAAUUGUUCUUACUGCCUUAAGCUACCUCGAUGUCACUGAGCUCGAGGCCACUGCUGCUAAGUAAUAUUGGUUUGGUUCACUUCUAUCUUUCAUUUCUACUUCAUAUCUCUUGGUUAUUAAUUGGUAUUGAACUAAAUCACAUAUCUUUAAAAUUGCUAAUCAAAUUUAAUUGUUACUCGUAUUUUCCACGUAAAUAAUAUUUUUCAUUUGGAGUAUUACUUGAUAUUACCUUCGCUUACUUAAUAAAGAAGUCAUUUAGCAUCUUGCAUAUUGUGUUCUCAUAUAGUAUCAUAUAAAAUGAGAUGAAGAAAGUUUUAUUUGAAUCAUUAGAAAAAGAAAAAACAAAAAAUAUUCAAAUUUUAGUUUUCUAGUUGAAAUAGUUAUUGAAAAGUCAGAUUUAUAUAGAAAAAUUACAUUAAAAAUUUAAAAUAAAUUAUUAAAUGAGUUUAAACUUCUUGAAAAUUUAUAUGACAUUAUAAAUCAUAUAAUGAUAAUGUUAUACACCUUUUAAAAUUUUCAAACUAGAAAUUACUCUAAAAAUCUUACUCUUAAGAGCCCUAAAAUUCAUACAACUCUUGGACAGGGAUAGCCUUAUUUUUUAGGUUGGUACUGCUAAUCCAAGUCCAGUAGAAGAUAUAUCCAAAGUACCAGCUAGACAUAUAAGCACGCGUUGUCCACGCGCUUCCCGUGGGAAAACUGGGUUAAAAAAGCUUCCAUUCAUUUUCCUGCAAAAGGCAGUUGGAGAUAAACUGUCAUAUAUAGACGGCAACCUCGUAUUUUCAAAAAGUCAUUUGUAACUCUCUCUCUCUCUCCCUACAGGAUCUGAAAACGUAUUAUAACUCCAAAG